AACGAACGCUGGCGGCAUGCCUAACACAUGCAAGUCGAACGAGAGCUUCGGGUCUGGUGGCGCACGGGUGCGUAACGCGGGGGGACCUGCCUUUAGAUUCGGAUUAACUCCCCGAAAGGGGUGCUGAUACCGGAUAAUGUCUUCGGUCCAAAGAGUUAUCGCCUUUGGAGGGGCCCGCGUGGGCUUAGUCAGUUAGUAGGGUAAAAGCAUACCACGGCGACGAUCCAUAAAUGGUCUGAGAGGAUAGUCAGCCACACUGGGACUGAGACACGGCCCGGAAUCCUGCGUGAGGCAGCAGUGGGGAAUACAGGAAAAUCGGCGACAGCCUGAACCAGCUAUGACGCGUGAGUGAUGAAAGCCUGAGGGUUGGAAAGUUCUUUUACCCGGGAUGAUAAUGACGGUACCGGGAGAAUAAGCUCCGGCUAACUCCGUG
rnacentral:rRNA from 1 species